CCGAAAAUGUACCGGGGCUAAACAUAUUACCGAAGCUGUGGAUUGUCCUUUGGACAAUGGUAGGAGAGCGUUCUAAGGGCGUUGAAGCAUGAUCGUAAGGACAUGUGGAGCGCUUAGAAGUGAGAAUGCCGGUGUGAGUAGCGAAAGACGGGUGAGAAUCCCGUCCACCGAUUGACUAAGGUUUCCAGAGGAAGGCUCGUCCGCUCUGGGUUAGUCGGGUCCUAAGCUGAGGCCGACAGGCGUAGGCGAUGGAUAACAGGUUGAUAUUCCUGUACCACCUAUAAUCGUUUUAAUCGAUGGGGGGACGCAGUAGGAUAGGCGAAGCGUGCGAUUGGAUUGCACGUCUAAGCAGUAAGGCUGAGUAUUAGGCAAAUCCGGUACUCGUUAAGGCUGAGCUGUGAUGGGGAGAAGACAUUGUGUCUUCGAGUCGUUGAUUUCACACUGCCGAGAAAAGCCUCUAGAUAGAAAAUAGGUGCCCGUACCGCAAACCGACACAGGUAGUCAAGAUGAGAAUUCUAAGGUGAGCGAGCGAACUCUCGUUAAGGAACUCGGCAAAAUGACCCCGUAACUUCGGGAGAAGGGGUGCUCUUUAGGGUUAACGCCCAGAAGAGCCGCAGUGAAUAGGCCCAAGCGACUGUUUAUCAAAAACACAGGUCUCUGCUAAACCGUAAGGUGAUGUAUAGGGGCUGACGCCUGCCCGGUGCUGGAAGGUUAAGAGGAGUGGUUAGCUUCUGCGAAGCUACGAAUCGAAGCCCCAGUAAACGGCGGCCGUAACUAUAACGGUCCUAAGGUAGCGAAAUUCCUUGUCGGGUAAGUUCCGACCCGCACGAAAGGCGUAACGAUUUGGGCACUGUCUCAACGAGAGACUCGGUGAAAUCAUAGUACCUGUGAAGAUGCAGGUUACCCGCGACAGGACGGAAAGACCCCGUGGAGCUUUACUGUAGCCUGAUAUUGAAAUUCGGCACAGCUUGUACAGGAUAGGUAGGAGCCUUUGAAACGUGAGCGUUAGCUUACGUGGAGGCGCUGGUGGGAUACUACCCUAGCUGUGUUGGCUUUCUAACCCGCACCACUUAUCGUGGUGGGAGACAGUGUCAGGCGGGCAGUUUGACUGGGGCGGUCGCCUCCUAAAAGGUAACGGAGGCGCUCAAAGGUUCCCUCAGAAUGGUUGGAAAUCAUUCAUAGAGUGUAAAGGCAUAAGGGAGCUUGACUGCGAGACCUACAAGUCGAGCAGGGUCGAAAGACGGACUUAGUGAUCCGGUGGUUCCGCAUGGAAGGGCCAUCGCUCAACGGAUAAAAGCUACCCCGGGGAUAACAGGCUUAUCUCCCCCAAGAGUUCACAUCGACGGGGAGGUUUGGCACCUCGAUGUCGGCUCAUCGCAUCCUGGGGCUGUAGUCGGUCCCAAGGGUUGGGCUGUUCGCCCAUUAAAGCGGUACGCGAGCUGGGUUCAGAACGUCGUGAGACAGUUCGGUCCCUAUCCGUCGUGGGCGUAGGAAAUUUGAGAGGAGCUGUCCUUAGUACGAGAGGACCGGGAUGGACAUACCUCUGGUGUACCAGUUGUCGUGCCAACGGCAUAGCUGGGUAGCUAUGUGUGGACGGGAUAAGUGCUGAAAGCAUCUAAGCAUGAAGCCCCCCUCAAGAUGAGAUUUCCCAACUUCGGUUAUAAGAUCCCUCAAAGAUGAUGAGGUUAAUAGGUUCGAGGUGGAAGCAUGGUGACAUGUGGAGCUGACGAAUACUAAUCGAUCGAAGACUUAAUCAA
rnacentral:rRNA from 1 species